rnacentral:lncRNA from 1 species
CUAGUACAGAAGCCAUUUAUAUAGUUUUUUACACGUUGGUGUGGAUAUUGGUUUGUUGAAGGAACCAGGUUUGUACUCAUUUUUAUUUUUGGUACUGUGGAUUUUUCAUAAACGAUUUUUUUAGGGCAGUUUUUUUAGGUUUACAGCAAUAUUGAGCAGAAGAUGCAGAGAUUUCCUGUAUACCCCCUGCCCGCGCCCAUGUACUUUGUAAAUAUUUUAAUAGUAUUAAUAGUCAAUAUUUUAAGUAUCAAUUUGGCAUUGAUAAUUCAGAUGUAGAAUAUGGCCAGUAAUUUCUUGAUACCUUGUUAGUUGAGCUUGUAGUUUAAAAAGUAAUCAGUGGACCCUUUCCAAAGGAAAAUAAGCCUUGCAGACCUCAAAGAAUAUGUCUUCCAACCACACUUUGUGGAAGAGUGGUACUUAAGUGUAAGUACUGAAUUAAAGCAACAUUUCUUUGCACAUUAAAAACAUAAAUGUAUAAUUAUUAAUUUAGCAACUCUUAUUUGAUAAGAUUGCAUUAAAUGUUGUAACUUUGAGUAUCUCUGAAAAUAUUAGAUAUAAAUUGCCUUAAGGAAAUAAGAUUUCUCAGCAGUUAAUACUGAUAAUCCCUAAACAUUCUAAAUAAAUGUGUUUUUAUUUUCUUUAUUGUCAUUUGGGUUUUCUCAGUGCAGGACAGCUUAAAAUGGAAUAAACUUGUUAGCAUAAUAAGAUUCUUAUUUGAACAUUUUCUGUUUGGCUUAGGAUGAAUUUAGUAGUAAUUGUUUUAGGAGUUUAAGAUAAGGAUUAGUAGCAGAGAUUUUUUAUUUUAUGGGUAUUUUAGUGUUUGCCUUAAUUAUAUUAGAAUCAGGAAAUUUAAUUCCAUGUUUGGAAGUGUGAGCUAUAUGUGUAUAACUUAAAAUUUGUAUUCAAAUGGGUAGCCAUUGGUUUGAAUUUAUUACUUUAAAAAUUGGUUUUUGAAUUCAAAACAUUAGUAUUUUGUUCAUUUAUUGUAUCAUUUUGAAUGGUUGCCUUAUUAGUUUGAUUUGGUCUUAUAUUUUAAAAGGGAGGAAAACUGCAAGAGAGUUGGACAUAAGGAGCUAGGUGUUUGGUUUUCUCAUGAGUGGAAGUGACAGAAGUUUUUUUGGGAACUUUUGAUGUGUUUAAAUUGACCUUUUACUUGUAGAACACUUGUCUUUUUUUUUUUUUUUAAGUGGAUGUAAAAUUUAUAUACAGUGAAAUGCACAGACUUUAAGGAUAGUAUUCAUUUGAUAAGUUUAUACUCCCAUGUAACCAACACUCUAAUCAAAAUGUAUAACACUUUCAUCACCCCUUUGCUCUUGCCACUUCCAAUCAAGGAGCUAUUUAAUUUCCAGGAGAUUUUUGUUUUUAAAUAAUUUGCAGAUGUCUGCCUGGAAUUUGUACUUCGUUUUUGCUGAAGGAUGAUUAAUUUCCCCUUGGAACAAAGAAGACCAUUUUGUAAUGUCCAUAGUUGUGGUUCCGUAUAUUGCUUCACUUUUAAUAGGUAAUUCUGAAGGGAAUAUCCUAAUCUGGCGUGUUUAAGAUCAAUUACAGGGUCCAAGGAUUAAUUAUAUUUCAUUUUCUUUCCACAGUUAAGUUGCUUUUACAGAAUUAACAGGUCUCCAAGAAAUUUUAAAAAG